rnacentral:rRNA from 1 species
CAGUCGCCACGGUAAUACGUAGGGUGCAAGCGUUAAUCGGAAUUACUGGGCGUAAAGCGUGCGCAGGCGGUUAUAUAAGACAGAUGUGAAAUCCCCGGGCUCAACCUGGGAACUGCAUUUGUGACUGUAUAGCUAUAGUACGGCAGAGGGGGAUGGAAUUCCGCGUGUAGCAGUGAAAUGCGUAGAUAUGCGGAGGAACACCGAUGGCGAAGGCAAUCCCCUGGGCCUGUACUGACGCUCAUGCACGAAAGCGUGGGGAGCAAACAGGAUUAGAUACCCCCGUAGUCCCUGUCUCUUAUAA